UCCCAUUAAUUCCAACUCUUUAUCUAUUUCAGAUAACCCGAGAAAAUUAAAAAAAAAAAACCCCAAAAAUGAGGCCCAACAAAAAAUCAUCAUCUUCUUCAUCUAAGCGAGCCAAUCGAACCCAACCCAUAAACCCAAACUCAUCCCCUCGCUCCUCUCCUCGAGCCUCCGCCUCUCUCCUCGACUCCCCUCUUUCGGCCUCGGACGACGUUAAGACUCUCGAUGAUCUGCAGGAACAGUACACCGCCAACCCUCGUAGCUUCCCUUACAGCGUGAAGCAGCAGUGCUGGGGGAAGGCGGAGAGGGUGAAGGGCCGAGAUCCCGACCGGUGGCGGCGGGACCCACUUGGGAAUCUGGUGUUCAGGAAGCUCGUGGGGUGCGCUGGUUGCCUCUGCCAUGAUUAUGAUCACAUUGUUCCUUUCUCUAAGGGCGGAAAGAGCACACUGGAGAACUGCCAGGUUUUGCAGGCAACUGUUAACCGAGCCAAGGGGAAUAAAACAGAGAUAUCCAGAUCAGACCUUAUACAAAAGAGUUCUUACUGUAAAGUGUCAGGAAGAGACAUGGAUCUUCUAGAAAUCUCUGCAUACGGAAAUGUGCGUCGUGGUCAGGAUUCUGGGGGUUGUAAUAUACAGUAACAACACAGAAGGUAUCAAAGAAUGUUUCAAGGUACUCUAGACCUUCAAGCUUUCAAUCCUCAGCGCAAUUUCGAAGAGGGAACAAUGGAAGGGAUGUUCAGCGAAAGAAUGAAUAGGGAGAUUGAAAAUGACUAUCCUGGAUCGGGUGCCAAUAAUCGUCACACACCAAAACCGCCUGGAAGAAAAAUGAAGUGAUUUCUAUUAGAAAACGUCGAAGGAGGAAAUACUGUAUUAUCUAACAUAACGUGCUACAAAUUUGCAAAAUAGCAAAGUAGUUAGUUCUAGUGAAAGUUGAACUGAAUGUCAGAUUAUGAUGUAGUGAUGCAACUAUUUAUGCUUCUGUCUGAAAUCCGAAUGUUUUUAAAAUUUCAAGCUUAAGUAUGACUUUUCAGUAUGAAUAUCCAAUAUUGUGGACUUUCUUCUUCAGCCA